UACGUAGGAGGCAAGCGUUGCCCGGAAUUACUGGGCGUAAAGCGCGUGUAGGUGGUGGGACAAGUCUGCUGUGAAAGCGCCUGGCUUAACCGGGCGAGGUCGGCGGAAACUGUCCGACUAGAGGACGGUAGAGGGGGGUGGAAUUCCCGGUGUAGUGGUGAAAUGCGUAGAGAUCGGGAGGAACACCUGUGGCGAAGGCGGCCCCCUGGGCCGGCCCUGACACUGAGGAGCGAAAGCGUGGGGAGCGAACAGG
rnacentral:rRNA from 1 species